rnacentral:piRNA from 1 species
UNGAGGUAGUUCCAAAGCCUACAUUGAAC